rnacentral:rRNA from 1 species
UACGUAGGGUGCAAGCGUUGUCCGGAAUUAUUGGGCGUAAAGGGCUCGUAGGCGGUCCAUCGCGUCGGGAGUGAAAAGCUGGGGCUCAACCCCAGUCCUGCUUCCGAUACGGGUGGACUAGAGGUAUGCAGGGGAGAACGGAAUUCCAGGUGUAGCGGUGAAAUGCGUAGAUAUCUGGAGGAACACCGGUGGCGAAGGCGGCAUUCUGGACUGCAACUGACACUGAUGAACGAAAGCCAGGGGAGCAAACGGG